GUGGGGAAUAUUGCACAAUGGGCGCAAGCCUGAUGCAGCAACGCCGCGUGAGGGACGACGGCCUUCGGGUUGUAAACCUCUUUUAGCAGGGAAGAAGCGAAAGUGACGGUACCUGCAGAAAAAGCACCGGCUAACUACGUGCCAGCAGCCGCGGUAAUACGUAGGGUGCAAGCGUUGUCCGGAAUUAUUGGGCGUAAAGAGCUCGUAGGCGGUUUGUCGCGUCUGCUGUGAAAACCCGAGGCUCAACCUCGGGCCUGCAGUGGGUACGGGCAGAGUAGAGUGCGGUAGGGGAGAUUGGAAUUCCUGGUGUAGCGGUGGAAUGCGCAGAUAUCAGGAGGAACACCGAUGGCGAAGGCAGAUCUCUGGGCCGUAACUGACGCUGAGGAGCGAAAGCGUGGGGAGCGAACAGGAUUAGAUACCCCAGUAGUCC
rnacentral:rRNA from 1 species